AAGUUGUCCUAUAGACUAGCAUGGCUUAAUUAUCCUCUAACAACUUUCUUUAGAUAUCCUAAAGACCCUAACUAAUGGCUAGGCUCCACUACAACUGAGAACAUCAUUUGGCUCCUGAGCCUCCAAGAACAUUCCUUGCUCUCCCUUGGAAGCCAGAAUGCAACAACCCCUGCACUGAAGCUCUGUUCAGAAGAAUUCCCCCAGAAGAGAUCUGGUUGUAUCCAGAACAAUGAGUGAGGUUGAAGGCAGGAUCAUAGACUUGGGAGAGAGAAGGCAGCCUCCUUAUAGGGGAUUGACCCAGCGAAAAGGAGAGGAUAACCAAGAAGCUCUGGCAUCCUAAAGGAAAGGAAGUGAAGGCCCAGCACUGUGCUAGAAGGGGUGAUGUGCCUCCAGCUGCCAGAGGUGAGUGCCAGGUGAGGAGGCUUCUGUUAUGCAUCCCAGGAAGGUGGCCUCAUGCAUGCAA
rnacentral:lncRNA from 1 species